rnacentral:rRNA from 1 species
CAAAAGGUUCUAGAUCAAUCUCUUCGGAGUGCGACGUGAACCCGCUGCGUGGGACCUUCGGUGGUAGUAGUCAAGCGAUGGGGUGACGCAGGAAGGUAGCUGUACCGGUUAGUGGUUAUACCGGAGCAAGCCCGUAGGACGACAUCUAGGCAAAUCCGGAUGUCAUACGUCUGAGAGGUGACGCAUAGCCGAUUGAGGCGAAUUCAGUGAUCCUAUGCUGCCAAGAAAAGCCUCUAGUGAGUUCACACACGGCCCGUACCCCAAACCAACACAGGUGGUCAGGUAGAGAAUACUAAGGCGUACGAGAUAACUAUGGUUAAGGAACUCGGCAAAAUACCCCCGUAACUUCGGGAGAAGGGGGACCUCGCUUGGUGACCGGACUUGCUCCGUGAGCUGAACGAGGUCGCAGAGACCAGUGAGAAGCGACUGUUUACUAAAAACACAGGUCCGUGCGAAGUCGCAAGACGAUGUAUACGGACUGACGCCUGCCCGGUGCUGGAAGGUUAAGAGGACCCGUUAACCCUUGGGUGAAGCGGAGAAUUUAAGCCCCAGUAAACGGCGGUGGUAACUAUAACCAUCCUAAGGUAGCGAAAUUCCUUGUCGGGUAAGUUCCGACCUGCACGAAUGGCGUAACGACUUCUCAACUGUCUCAACCAUAGACUCGGCGAAAUUGCACUACGAGUAAAGAUGCUCGUUACGCGCGGCAGGACGAAAAGACCCCGGGACCUUCACUAUAGCUUGGUAUUGGCGUUUGGUUCGGUUUGUGUAGGAUAGGUGGGAGACUGUG